GUCCUUGUCGAUUAGUGGUCAAAUCAUCACGUUGUGGCUUGCUCAAACCGUGAAGCCGGAGGUUCGAAUCCUCCCUGGGACA
rfam:Pisolithus microcarpus 441 unplaced genomic scaffold scaffold_6, whole genome shotgun sequence.